GCACCAAGAGCAGCCUCACGCAUGUGGGCUGACAUGAAGAGCUGCCAGAUCUAACAGAAAUUGGAUUGGUARCAUUGAAGAGRCACUUCUCACCUGCCUGAAAUGCCCUUCAUUAUCUUCUUCAAGUUGCAAGGGCUCUGGAACAGCCCUUACAGUGCUCCCAUAAAGGAGCCUGAGCUGAGUCUACACGCUGGAAUCCCAGAGCUGAGGGAACAGCUGGAAGAAAGAAAGCAGGUUUAGGGGAUGAGAAUAAUCCACAAAGGACAAGGCAUUGGUAAAUGAAAACCAAAGAAGGGGAGAAUGAGGACAAACUGGGACAGAAGCUUCAGGGGAAAUGGGCAAUGCCUAUAAUCAUUUAAAUUCUCAAGGAGCAGCAUGAGCUGAGCAGUGGGGACUGAGAGAGAAAUUUACUCCACAGGAGUCUCCUGUCUCUGGCCAUGGAGAGCCAUAGGGUAGAUCAGAGCUGUUUUAUAGUGAGGGGCAGCUUCAACUCCAAGAGAGGGAGGAUAUGACUAUGAGCCCCCACCCCAGACAUAGGAACCUCGACCUCAGGGCUGCCGUAGCAAUGG